GUUUUAAUAAUUUAAUAUAAAAUAUUGAUCUUGUAAAUCAAAAAUAAAUGAACUUUUUAAAACU
rnacentral:tRNA from 1 species